rnacentral:rRNA from 1 species
AGUGAACGCUGGCGGUAGGCCUAACACAUGCAAGUCGAACGGCAGCACAGUAAGAGCUUGCUCUUACGGGUGGCGAGUGGCGGACGGGUGAGGAAUACAUCGGAAUCUACUUUUUCGUGGGGGAUAACGUAGGGAAACUUACGCUAAUACCGCAUACGACCUACGGGUGAAAGCAGGGGAUCUUCGGACCUUGCGCGAUUGAAUGAGCCGAUGUCGGAUUAGCUAGUUGGCGGGGUAAAGGCCCACCAAGGCGACGAUCCGUAGCUGGUCUGAGAGGAUGAUCAGCCGCACUGGAACUGAGACACGGUCCAGACUCCUACGGGAGGCAGCAGUGGGGAAUAUUGGACAAAGGGCGCAAGCCUGAUCCAGCCAUACCGCGUGGGUGAAGAAGGCCUUCGGGUUGUAAAGCCCCUUUGUUGGGAAAGAAAAGCAGCAGGUUAAUACCCCGCUGUUCUGACGGUACCCAAAGAAUAAGCACCGGCUAACUUCGUG